rnacentral:rRNA from 1 species
GACAGAGGGUGCAAACGUUGCUCGGAAUUACUGGGCGUAAAGCGCAUGUAGGCGGUUUCGCAAGUCGGGUGUGAAAGCCCAGGGCUCAACCCUGGAAGUGCACUCGAUACUACGGAGCUGGAGUCUUGAAGAGGAGAGCGGAAUUCCCGGUGUAGAGGUGAAAUUCGUAGAUAUCAGGAGGAACACCGGUGGCGAAGGCGGGUCUCUGGGCAACAACUGACGCUGAGGAGCGAAAGCGUGGGGAGCGAACAGG